UUGAUUAAAACCAAAAAGAGGUGUAUCACUGUUAAUGAUAUAAAUGAGAAUAAUCUCUAAUCAAG
rnacentral:tRNA from 1 species